UUUCCCCUGCGGUGUUCGCCAAGGCCAUACAUUCCUUGAACCAAUGCUGAUUGGCAUCGGCCGCAGCCCAACGACGCCGCUGUUGUGAUCGCUCCCGGCGAGCGAACCUGAAGCGGCAGGAAAGUGGCCACUCUGAACCCAGGUUCAGGAUGCCGGCCAAACGGCACACGCGGGGGAAUC
rfam:Rhodocyclales bacterium RIFCSPLOWO2_02_FTLL_63_24 rifcsplowo2_02_scaffold_610, whole genome shotgun sequence.